UGUUUUUAAAUUUUUUUAUAUAAGGGUUUUGAAUGGAAUUUUGGUGUAGAAAAUUCGAUAAAAUAGACUGAAUUGGACUCAAGGGGUUGAUUUUUUGUUUGUGUGGUUUAUAAUUUAGAGGACACGAAGUGAUUAAAUCCAUAGGGUCUGGAGAUGGCUGAAACAAUUUUGCUGGGGUUUAAAAUAAUUUUCAACAGUAAGAAAAUAUAGAAAAAUUUAAGUUUAGACCUGUCCUCACGGCAAGUGGUGGUACAAUUUCUUUAAUAUUUUUUACUUAUUCAUUAAAUGUUGUGCACAGAUCUUAUUAAUUUUUUAGGGUUAAAAAAAGAUUACCGUGCAUUUUAGUAUUUGCUGCUAUAAAGGUGGUUUGGUUGAAAGCAUUCCCGUAAUCAGGCACUCUGGAGACAACAUUGUAGAGAGGGAAACGGAUUGAUUUAUCCAGUUCACUGUGCCCUAAGGCAGGGAGGAUGUUGGCAAAGGUUGUGCAACGGCUUUACACCUGUCGAUUGCAUUUUCUUGAGAUUUUCUAAAGCGUUUUCAAGGCUAUCUUUUGCACAGGGCAACGUUCUAGUUUCCACACACUUAUUGCUCAAGGCUAUCUUUUGCGCAGGGCAACGUUCUUAAGGAUUAGGGUGUUUGGCUGCAAAUAAAGAGGAAGCUACCAAAUAUGGCUCCUCCGGAAGAAGGGCCAGAGAAUACGAUAAUUGAUGAAGUGGCAAAUGUUGAAUUUCGUUGGGGGGUGAAACGUGGAAAGGGAUUAAAAGGAAAGGAUAUUCAGUUUUAUGAUUCCUUCACCUACGAUGGUGUGGAAUAUUCUUGUUACGACUGUGUUUAUGUUCACAAGGAAGGUGAGCCUGAACCAUACAUUGGGAAAAUUAUGAAAAUCUGGGAUGAUCGUAAAUUGAAAAAGAAAAGGAUUAAGGUGUGGUGGUUCUUUCGCCCUAUUGAGAUACGGAACUUCUACGAAGGUGACUGUAGCCCAGCUAAUAGGGAGCUUUUUCUGGCAUCUGGAGAAGGACAAGGUCUUUUUAAUGUGAAUUUGCUGGAGGUGAUUGUUGGGAAGUGCAAAGUACUCUGCACAUCCACAGAUCCACAAAAUCCACAACCUUCAGAAGAAGACUUGAAUAAUGCAGAUUAUUUUUUUAAUCGGACAUUUGAUUGUGGCAAACGCAUAGUUUCAGAAAAUUUUGAGGGCCUUGAAGCUGAGGCCUUUCUUAACAAACAGGCUUGGGUUAGUAAGUCUGUUCGAUCACUGGAUCAACAAGCAAAUGGAGCUAAUGAAAACCAGGCAAAUAAAUCUAUGGCAAAUGGAUCUCUGUUUGCAAGGAAGGAAGGAGCUGAACUGGUAAUUUCAGAGGGACUAACUAAGAGUAAGGUAGACACAAGUACAAAGGAGGAGGAACCGAAGAAGGAUAAAGCAUCACAGAAAAAACUAGACGAUAUUGAAAUCAAAAAGGAAGAAAUGGAAGUAAGUAUGACAGUAAAGGGCGAGGGGAAAGGAAAAGAAACUCUUAAGGAGGAAUUUAAGAUAAUUGAGACUAUAAAGGAAGAAAUGAAAGGGAAUGGAAUUCCUGAUGAGGAGCUAAGAAAAGGUGAGAUUACAAAGGAAGAAACAAAAAAGAACAAGACUGGAAAAGAGGAAAUCGAAAAGAAUGAGAAUUCAAAUGAUGAAUGGAAAAAGUCGGAGACUGCAACUAAGGGACUGACAAAAGCUGAAUUAGAAAUACCAUCAAAGGGUAUUGGUAAAAUAGAUAGUCCAAAACAAUCUCCACGGUUGGAAGUAAGAUCCAAUGAUAAAAAAAGCAGUAAAAACGAGCCAUUUAAAGAUGAAAAAAAGCCGCUCAAGCGGGCAAGAGCAAUAGUGCACUCUGAUGACGAGGCAGAUGAAGUGGGUGGUUCAGCAAAUGCAAACAGGAAAAAAACAGAUUCUAAGAAAGAAGUUUCAGCACCUGAAAAUAGAGUUGUCAAGAAGGCCAAGCUGAGUGACAACUUUAAUAAAACCUCCGAAGAAGUGGCAAAGAUGACAUCUCAUCCAAAGGAGCUAAUCAAGGAAAAAAAGCUUGGUCGUGAAAUAAUUGAGAUUACAAAGAGGCCGGAAGUGGAAAGUAACAAAUGGUUCAAAGGGCUUCCCUGGGAUGAGCGCCUUAAGAAAGGUUAUGAACAGAGAGCAGUAAUCCGAGUACAAAACUUUGAUCCAUCAUACACAUCGGCAGAAAUAGAUGACAUUAUGUGGCAUAUGGUUGGGGAGCGAUGUACUGCACGAGUCCUGGCCCAAACGAUGUUUUCCAACCCAAACAGUGGUGAUGCACUGGUUGUUUUCAGAACAAAAGAAGCAGCAGAAAUGGCUCUAAAGAAAUUGAAUCAAGCAUGCCUAACUUUUUCAGAUGGAAGAUCCCUCAUCGCUACAAGAGCAACUCCUGUGAUGUCUGGAAAAAAAAAAUUUGCUGGGCAUAUUAGUAUAGAGAAGCAUAAACUCCUAAUGCAAAGGGCACAUAAGUCUGAGGAUAUGAGAAAAGCAGUUUCAACAUCACAUUGUUCUCAACCAAAUACAAUUGAAUAUGAAAUGGCCAUGGAAUGGCGUCUUCUGCAAGAAAAGUCUGAGCGUUGGUGGAAUGAGUUAUUUAAGCAAGAAGCAUCAGAGGUUGUUGAUGUCAAGCGCAAGAAUAUAAUUUCUACAAAAAAGAACUAAGCCAGGGUGUAAUUACGAAAUUCUGUUUUACAGAUUAGUGCUGAUGUUACUGAAGAUACUGACGAGUGUGGUGUUUUGCCAUUCUUUCACAUAUUAUUGUGGCUGGUGAUAAGUUCAGAGGUCGGCACAUUUUAGUAUGGAGAUUUUUCUAUAGUACGUUGAUUGCGGAUGACAAAAGGAUAGAAGUGUUAAUUAGUGUCUGUGAGUGGGGACAAGUGUUAUCGGCAUUGCUUACCUGAGAAACAACUUUCUUCGCAAGGUAAAUUGACAUGGUGGUUUCUAUGAUGUCUAACAUCAUAGCUAUUUCUAUGCCUGAUCGGAUACCUAUUCAAAGCUUCACCAUCUUAUACCUCUGAUGUAUGAUAUUUUUGCACGUUUCUCAUUACUUGCUCCUAAUGUAAAGUAUGUUGAGUGAAGCUGGCAAUGCAAACACUCUCGGAACGAUAGACCAGCGACAGUAUGAUUGUCUUGGUUGUAUGGCUUACCCAUUGUACUCCAUGUGCCUAUGUACGAUAGCUAUGAUAAUAGAAAUAUAACAAUGCAAAAUUUCCUCUGAA